rnacentral:rRNA from 1 species
GACAGAGGGUGCAAACGUUGUUCGGAAUUACUGGGCGUAAAGCGUGUGUAGGUGGCUGUGCAAGUCGGAUGUGAAAGCCCUGGGCUCAACUCAGGAAGUGCACCCGAUACUGCAUAGCUAGAGUACCGGAGAGGUUGGUAGAAUUCUCGGUGUAGAGGUGAAAUUCGUAGAUAUCGAGAGGAAUACCUGUGGGGAAGGCGGCCAACUGGACGAGUACUGACACUGAGACACGAAAGCGUGGGGAGCAAACAGG